AUGAACGCUGGCGGCGUGCCUAAUACAUGCAAGUCGAGCGAACAGACGAGGAGCUUGCUCCUCUGACGUUAGCGGCGGACGGGUGAGUAACACGUGGAUAACCUACCUAUAAGACUGGGAUAACUUCGGGAAACCGGAGCUAAUACCGGAUAAUAUAUUGAACCGCAUGGUUCAAUAGUGAAAGACGGUUUUGCUGUCACUUAUAGAUGGAUCCGCGCCGCAUUAGCUAGUUGGUAAGGUAACGGCUUACCAAGGCGACGAUGCGUAGCCGACCUGAGAGGGUGAUCGGCCACACUGGAACUGAGACACGGUCCAGACUCCUACGGGAGGCAGCAGUAGGGAAUCUUCCGCAAUGGGCGAAAGCCUGACGGAGCAACGCCGCGUGUGUGAUGAAGGUCUUCGGAUCGUAAAACUCUGUUAUUAGGGAAGAACAAAUGUGUAAGUAACUAUGCACGUCUUGACGGUACCUAAUCAGAAAGCCACGGCUAACUACGUG
rnacentral:rRNA from 1 species